rnacentral:rRNA from 1 species
UACGUUCCCGGGCCUUGUACACACCGCCCGUCACGUCACGAAAGUCGGUAACGCCCGAAGCCAGUGGCCCAACCCGUAAGGGAGGGGGCUGUCGAAGGCGGGAUCGGCGAUUGGGACG